rnacentral:rRNA from 2 species
UACCCGCAGCACAAGUGGUGGUCAUUAUUAUUGGGCCUAAAGCGUCCGUAGCUGGCGUGUUAGAUGCCUGGGUAAAUCGAAGCGCUCAACGUUUCGAAUUCCGGGUAGACCGGCACGCUCGAGACCGGGAGAGGUGUAGGGUACUCGGGGGGUAGGGGUAAAAUCCUGUAAUCCUCCGGGGACGACCAGUGGCGAAGGCGCUACACUAGAACGGCUCUGACAGUGAGGGACGAAGCCCUGGGGCGCAAACCGG